AGUAGAGUGGCGCAGUGGAAGCGUGUUGGGCCCAGAGGUCCGUGGAUCAAAACCACACUCUGCUA